rnacentral:rRNA from 1 species
UACGUAGGGUGCAAGCGUUGUCCGGAAUUAUUGGGCGUAAAGAGCUCGUAGGCGGUCUGUCGCGUCGGCUGUGAAAACCCGGAGCUCAACUCCGGGCCUGCAGUCGAUACGGGCAGACUGGAGUUCGGCAGGGGAGACUGGAAUUCCUGGUGUAGCGGUGAAAUGCGCAGAUAUCAGGAGGAACACCGGUGGCGAAGGCGAGUCCCUGGACAACUUCUGACGCUGAGGCACGAAAGCUAGGGGAGCAAACAGG